rnacentral:lncRNA from 1 species
UGCACUCCAGCCUAGGCAACAGAGCAAGACUGUCUCAAAAAAAAAAAAAAAAAAAAGAAUACAUGUUACUGUUGUCAUUAGAAGAGAGGGAAGUGUAUUGGGCAAGCAAAAAUCAUAACCUUCACCUUCAAUGAGUUAUAAUAGAGAAAUUAAUAUUUUAAUGGUAGAGUUGGCUCAAGGAGCCAAGAGGCCAGAAUCUCAGAAUGUCUGGCUGAGAUGCCAUGAGCCCUGAGCAGACAUGUCACAUGGACUGCCCAGCCAGGAAGGGAGGCCUAUCAUAAUUUUGUCCCCCACUUGUGUUAUCUCAUAGACUACAGACUUAAAUUUAUUUCUUAAUAUGCAUACUAUUUAAAGAAGGAAGUUAUAAACAUUUGGGCAUUAUCUUAGAGAAAGCAGAACUUUCUAAAGAGAGUGUCUAGAGGCUGGACCACAGACUAACAUCCCUGUUGGUUGAAAAAUUGCAGGCUGUCUUGUCCUGUUGGAAAGCAUUAUUUUAACAGAUUGCUUAAUGCUUUUCCUUCCUGUAGCAUGGGCUUGGGGGAGUGGUACUCAAAGCAGACUUAUAAAUUGGAUUGUAUAGUGAAUGAACUUUGCUUAAUGGCUUUGCUGGGUUUAUUUAAGACAUUGAACUGUUUGCCCUUGUCUCCAGUGGUUCAAUGACCACUCAUCAUUACAUUAGUGGGAGAACUAUCAUACUGUGUUAGAGAUACGGAGAGCUUGUGACUGGGUGAAGAGUCAGUGUUUUGACUUUUUAUGCCAACAUCAUUAUUUUCCCACUCAUUUCACAUUUCUCCUGUCAGUUCAGCCCUCAAUUCAAGGUUACCUUGAUUACUUUCAGGUCUUUUAGUCAUGAAUCUUUCUAAACUAUUUUUACCUCAAAUUGUUCCUAUAUUUUCAUGAACUCACUUUUUCUUCUUUUCUGUCUCAAAAUUAGAGGUAUUCCUAGUCUUUUCCAGCACUAAAUUCUUCCCUAGUCUACCUCCUUAGAAAACUAACUUCAUUCAUUCCUUCAUCUUCUAUUUGCAUUUUCAACUAUCUCUCUUCAUUGCAUCUUUCUCCACUUAUCCACCACAAGCCUACCUCUUGAAACAGUAUCAAAUGAGAUCAUAUUUGGGAAAGUGCUCUGUUACUCUGAAGUAGAAUAUAAAUAUGGAAUAAUAUCAUAAUCCUGUCUUUCUUCUUCCCUCCGUGAUCAUUUCAAAAAACCAUCAAUAUAAAAUAUUUUUUAAUUUUACUAUAUCACUGUUCAACUCAUUACCUAAUGUCUUAAAAUCUGAUUCUGUCUCCUAAAAUACUAUGUUAGGGGUUCAUAACUUUAUCUUCCAGUAUUUGACACAGUUAACUACAUCCUCCUUCCUUGGUUUUUGUAACCUCAUUACCUUGAUUUGCCUCCUCUCCCUUUAACCAUUCCUCUUUCCUUCAAUGUCCAUCUUUUCCCUUCUAUCUCUAAAUGUGGGUGGUCUCUAUCAUUCUGUCCUUCCUUCUCUCCCUCUCUCUCUGAUUCUCAUAAAUACUCCUUGAAACCACCAACAAAUUCUUUUCUUCAACCUCUGUUAAUUGCCUGCUGAUAAUUUUAACCUAGAUGUCCCACUAGCCCCCAAAGAAAAUGUAUAGUAAAAUAAACUCUUACCCCACUCCAAAUAUCUUCCACCUUAUCUCAGCCAACAGUGUUACUCUUUUACUGAGUCACCUAGGCUUGAAACCCUAAUUCCAUGAUUGAUUUUUCCCUCCUUAUCCCUGAAUCUAAUUUCAGCCAUAUUUUACAGACAUUUACUCUGUCUCUGCCUUCUCUUCCUUCAGGUAGUGAUAGUUCAGGCUGCUGGAAUAGCACACACCCUAUUAUUUUUGCUUUCAGUAGGGUUAUCCAAACGUAUUUUGUGGUCAUACUGUUUUUCCCUUCUUUGUUCCUUAGUUCUUUCCCUUUUCUGGUCUGAAUAACCAUUUUAACUUUAUUCACAAAGACCACUAAAUCUUCUGUGCUAACAUUUUCUCAGAACUUCCACUAAACAUGUUUAGAAUGGCUAGAAUGGCCUGUAUAACAUGCCUGGUAAGUAACAGCUGGGUGCAAGUUGACUAUUGUUUAUAAGUAGUGACAUGACAAAAAUACAUUUCAUAGCGUAUGUCUAUUAAUUUGCAUUUUCAAAUGCAGUCACCAUCUUCAUAUUAGAAAAUUCAACCGUAUUUGAUUCAGAAUGCUGAAAUUUUGAGGAUCUAAUGACAUGCUAAUGAAUAUACACUGAACAUGUUGCCUGACUUUUAAUACUUUUUCACCAGUCAUCAGAAUAUAAUUCCAGUUUAUGUCUAACCUCAUCAGAAACAUCACCUUUCAGUCUCUAGGACUCUAGCUCUCUAACUUUGUUUCUGCAGAUCCUAUUAGCAAAAAAAUGAUUAAGGACAGCUUCAGUUUUCCCAGUUUUGACAUUAAGGGUAUUUGAUGCCACAGUAGUAUACUGUGCAACUGUAAAAAAGAAUAGGGAAGCUCUUUAUAUGUCUAUAUGGAAAGAUCUCUAUUAAGAAAUGAAUGUUCAUGUCUCCCUCAAAACUCAUGUGUUUAAGUCCUAACCCUCAAUAUGAUGAUGAUAUUUGGAGAUGAGGCCUUUGGGAUGUAACUGGGGUUAGAUGAGGUUAUGAGGGUGGGACUCUCAUGAUGUGAUUAGUGCCUUUAUAAGAUUAGAUGCCAGAAAGCUUGCUGGUUCUCUAUCUGCAUGUUAGGACAUAGUGAGAAGAAAGCCAUCUGAAAACCAGGAAGAGAGCCCUCACCAGAAUCUGACCAUGCUGGUGCCCUGAUCUUGGACUUUCAGCCUCCAGAACUGCAAAAUUCUGGUGUGGUGUGAAUGCUGUGGCUCAGUCCGAACAUGUUUUUUUCUGUAAUUUUAUCAUUAUUACACGAUUGCAAUAUCAGUUUUGUUUUUUAAUUGGAAAGCAACAUUUUCUACUGUUGAAAGACGUUUUUUGACAAAUUGACCCUUCCUAGUAUUGAGUACUAAGUUGAGGACUGCAUCUACUUGUUUUUUACAUUAUAGAGAAUAAAAUACUAUUGAUUUGAAAAAUA